CAAGUCGAACGGCAGCGCGGGGGCAACCCUGGCGGCGAGUGGCGGACGGGUGAGGAAUACAUCGGAAUCUACCUUCUGGUGGGGGAUAACCAGCCGAAAGGCUGGCUAAUACCGCAUAAGACCGAGAGGUGAAAGCGGGGGACCGAAAGGCCUCGCGCGAGAAGAUGAGCCGAUGUCGGAUUAGCUGGUUGGCGGGGUAAGAGCCCACCAAGGCGACGAUCCGUAGCUGGUCUGAGAGGAUGAUCAGCCACACUGGGACUGAGACACGGCCCAGACUCCUACGGGAGGCAGCAGUGGGGAAUAUUGGACAAUGGGCGCAAGCCUGAUCCAGCAAUGCCGCGUGUGAAGAAGGCCUUCGGGUUGUAGAGCACUUUUAUCGGGAACGAAAAGCGAUUGGUUAAUAACCGGUCGUGCUGACGGUACCCGAGGAAUAAGCACCGGCUAACUUCGUGCCAGCAGCCGCGGUAAUACGAAGGGUGCAAGCGUUAAUCGGAAUUACUGGGCGUAAAGCGUGCGUAGACGGCUUUUUAAGUCUGCUGUGAAAGCCCUGGGCUCAACCUGGGAACUGCAGUGGAUACUGGGGAGCUGGAGUGCGGUAGAGGAUGGUGGAAUUCCCGGUGUAGCGGUGAAAUGCGUAGAGAUCGGGAGGAACAUCAGUGGCGAAGGCGGCCAUCUGGACCAGCACUGACGUUGAGGCACGAAAGCGUGGGGAGCAAACAGGAUUAGAUACCCUGGUAGUCCACGCCCUAAACGAUGCGAACUGGACGUUGGGCACAACUCGGUGCUCAGUGUCGAAGCUAACGCGUUAAGUUCGCCGCCUGGGGAGUACGCUCGCAAGAGUGAAACUCAAAGGAAUUGACGG
rnacentral:rRNA from 1 species